UGUCGCGGAGAAGGCCGCCGUUGGAAGCGGCCCCGGGCAGGCGUCACCAGCGGAGGGAGGAACCCACUCCCGGCGACAUCGCCUUGUCGCCCCCUUCUCUGAACCGCUCGUGUCCUCACAUCAAACUAAGGGACCCGCAGGACUUAAGCCUUUCAAUCCCCAACACAUUCCAAGCACCUGCCCAGUGCUAGGUCCUGAGUUGGGUGGAAGGGACACAGAGACAGAGGACGCCCUCGCCAGCCUGGAACGUCCACUCACACCAGGGAGUCGGUGGCAGGGUUACUUGAAGCAAUGAGCCUUAAGCCUCAGGGCCCCUCCCUUGCAUGGUCCCCUGGGAGAGCAGGGAGUUGCUGAGAGUUACGGCGUGUUCCAGGUGAACCGGGGAAGCCAGUUCGAGAUGAGGAGGCAAUUCUGCGGCUCCCACAGUGUAUAAACUUCAGCUCUAGGAAACCUGGAUAUCCCCCUCCGGAAGGCAGCUAAACAGUGGAGUCAGCAAGGAAAAGCCUGUGGGAAAAAAGAGAGCAGUGGCAAACAGAUAUUUCUACACCCGUGUAGCUUAUUCACAAGCCAAAAGCUGGAAACAACCCAAAUGUCCAUUGAUGGAUGAAUGGAUUUUUUAAAUGUGGCAUAUACACGCAAUG